GGCCGGGUCCCAUGCAAGCUGAGACCGUGAAUCUGGUCAGGCGGGGAACCGAGCAGCCAUAAACGCACCCUUGGUUGUGCGUGGCAAACCCGGCCACC
rnacentral:SRP_RNA from 1 species